rnacentral:lncRNA from 1 species
GGUGCAGCGCACCAGCAUGGCACAUGUAUACAUAUGUAACUAACCUGCACAUUGUGCACAUGUACCCUAAAACUUAAAGUAUAAUAAUAAAAAAUAAAUAAAUAAAUAAAUAAAUNNNNNNNNNNGGAACAGAAGGAUUCACAGCUGAAUUAUGAUUGUAUAUCUAGAAAACCCCAUUGUCUCAGCCCAAAAUCUCCUUAAGCUCAUAAGCAACUUCAGCGAAGUCUCAGGAUACAAAAUCAAUGUACAAAAAUCACAAGCAUUCUUAAACACCAACAACAGACAAACAGAGAGUCAAAUCAUGAGUGAACUCCCAUUCACAAUUGCUUCAAAGAGAAUAAAAUACCUAGGAAUCCAACUUAUAAGGGAUGUGAA